UUUCUAAUAAGUAUUAAUUUUCAAAAGGUUUUAAAUAUUAAAACAAUGGAAGAAAAUGUUUUGAUACUGUGUGUGCUAUGUAAAAGACCAAUAGAUAAUUGUUGUAAAAGUCAACUGUGGGAAAACGAUGCUUACAAAAUUUGCAAGGCUUGCGCAGAUUCAUCGUGUGGUAUUUCCUACAAUGAGGGCGUUAUAUUAAUUGAAAAAGGUUUGUUUUUACUCAACUGACACAUUGCUUGUGAGUUGUGAGGUCUUAAUUUAUUUUAUAACUUAUAAUAAAAUUUUUAAUAUAACAUGCUAUAUAACAUAAUAUACAUUUUUAACAUAAUAUACUAAAUUAUAACCUGUAUGCAGCUCUUUAAAAUAAAUAAAAUAAGCUCAAUAAAUUCCUGAUUUUUAUUUAUUUUUUCCAAAAUUUUACACAAAAAUCAAUAGAAGAAGUUAUAUCUUCAUCAUUGUUGAUGUCUAUUUAUUCUGGUCAACUCUAUAGUUACAGACACAAUAUAUAUAAAGCUAUUGG